GGGGUCCCCAACAUUUGGGGGGGGUCCCCAACUUCUGGGGGGGUCCCCAACAUUUAGGGGGGGUCCCCAAGUCUGGGGGGGGUCCCCAAAUCUCAGGGGGGGCCCCAAGGGGAAGGUGACGAAGGUCGCGGUCAAUGAGGCCGAAGACGACGCCGUUGAGGAUGAGGAGGAGGAGACGAAGGGCCCGGCAACUGGUGAUGAUGAGGAUGAUGAAGGCUCAGCCAAUGGGGAUGGGGAUGAUGAGGAUGAUGGUGAAGGCUCAGCCAAUGGCGAUGAGGAUGAUGAUGAUGAAGGCUCAGCCAAUGGGGAUGAUGGGUGAUGAUGAUGAUGAAGGCUCAGCCAAUGGGGAUGAUGAUGAUGAUGAUGAAGGCUCAGCCAAUGGUGAUGGGGAUGAUGAUGAAGGCUCAGCCAAUGGGGAUGAUGAUGAUGAUGAUGAGGAUGAGGAUGCCGAAGGCUCAUCCAGUGGUGCGGACGGAUGAUGAUGAUGAUGAUGAUGAUGAAGGUUCAUUGAUGGUGAUGAUGAUGAAGGCUCAUCCAAUG